CAUCAUGGCAGUGAAACUGAAAGGCUUGAGUAUGGUAGGGGCAGAGGGAAUUCCCGGUGUAGCGGUGAAAUGCGUAGAUAUCGGGAAGAACACCAGUGGCGAAGGCGCUCUGCUGGGCCAUUACUGACGCUCAUGGACGAAAGCCAGGGGAGCGAAAGGGAUUAGAUACCCCUGUAGUCCUGGCCGUAAACGAUGAACACUAGGUGUCGGGGGAAUCGACCCCUUCGGUGUCGUAGCUAACGCGUUAAGUGUUCCGCCUGGGGAGUACGCACGCAAGUGUGAAACUCAAAGGAAUUGACGGGGGCCCGCACAAGCGGUGGAGUAUGUGGUUUAAUUCGAUGCAACGCGAAGAACCUUACCAGGGUUUGACAUCCUGCGAACCUCUUAGAAAUUUGAGGGUGCCUUCGGGAAUGCAGUGACAGGUGGUGCAUGGCUGUCGUCAGCUCGUGUCGUGAGAUGUUGGGUUAAGUCCCGCAACGAGCGCAACCCACGUUUUUAGUUGCCAGCAUUUAGUUGGGCACUCUAGAAAGACCGCCGGUGAUAAACCGGAGGAAGGUGUGGAUGACGUCAAGUCAUCAUGCCCCUUACACCCUGGGCUACACACGUACUACAAUGCUACGGACAAAGGGCAGCAAACUCGCGAGAGCUAGCAAAUCCCAUAAACCGUGGCUCAGUUCAGAUCGUAGGCUGCAACUCGCCUACGUGAAGUAGGAAUCGCUAGUAAUCGCAGGUCAGCAUACUGCGGUGAAUACGUUCCCGGGCCUUGUACACACCGCCCGUCACACCAUGGAAGUUGGCCAUGCCCGAAGUCGUUACUCCAACCCUUGUGGAGGAGGACGCCGAAGGUGGGGCUAAUGACUGGGGUGAAGUCGUAACAAGGUAACCGUA
rnacentral:rRNA from 1 species